UGGCGCAAGGCCGGCCGGGGGCAAACGCCAGGAGCGAAUUCUAUUGGAGCUGCUGGCCUGGCCGGCCGGGGGCACGUCGACGUCGCGCCAAAAAGCGAUCGAUCGGCCGGGAGCUAUCGGGCCCCCGUGCGCGCCUACAUGCGUGCGCCACAGGCCACAGCCGACCACGCUGCUCCUCGAUCCUCUCUGUCCACCGUUCCUUGGCGCUAAGCCGUGAGCGCCAAGGGCGUGACAGGAGGAGGGCCAUCCGCCAUCGACGGAGACGGCGGUUGUCUCGUCAAUCUGGGACUGGGCGCGCGUCCCCUCCAACUUUGUGCCCAAGCCAUCGAGCCUCAUCCUCGGCGCCUUUUCGCCUGUUUACGUACUGGAGACUCCUGUUGGAUGCCCGCCGCCGUGUCGAUUCCCGAUCCGCCGAUAUAUGCUCCAACAGUGUGUGCCCUCUUCGAGAGGCCGAUGAUACUGUGACAGUGACCGCCAAGCCAAUAGCGGGAACAUCUUGACUGUGUGUGCGUGCGACAGCCGAUAUGGCCAUUCCAAUAGGCCUGUGCUACUGCUAGUGCUGGUGGGUGGUCUCCAUGUGAUCGGUCGGGAACUCGUUACAUCAACAGCGGUACGUACGUCUGAUAAUCGGUUAGUUAGGUAACUGUACUCUACAAAUUGUAGCAGUAUACGAUGAAACUUGGACGACAGGGUGGGUGGCUAAAGUUUAGCGACCUCAUUCAUUCUGCCGUGAAAAUCUCGUUCUAAACAUUGGAUUUGUAUAAAAUUCUAUAAAAAUGCGCGUCGCUUGUUUCGGGACGGAGGGAUUACUCUUCUUUGAUGUGUUGUUUCAAUGGUUGGGUCCCGUCGGUCGGACAGGGAAUUAGUAUUCAGCGGUGUCCACGUACGUACGCCCGAUCGGACCAAGAAUACUAACCUGCUCAACUGCAGGCCCCGUGUUCACUUACUCCAUGGGGAACGUGGUGUUCCUUCACGUGAGCCGG
rnacentral:lncRNA from 1 species